AACGAACGCUGGCGGCAGGCUUAACACAUGCAGGUCGAACGGGCAUAGCAAUAUGUCAGUGGCAGACGGGUGAGUAACACGUGGGAACCUUCCUAGAGGUACGGAACAACGCAGGGAAACUUGUGCUAAUACCGUAUACGCUCGAGAGAGGAAAGAUUUAUCGCCUUUAGACGGGCCCGCGUAGGAUUAGGUAGUUGGUGAGGUAACGGCUCACCAAGCCUACGAUCCUUAGCUGAUCUGAGAGGAUGAUCAGCCACACUGGGACUGAGACACGGCCCAGACUCCUACGGGAGGCAGCAGUGGGGAAUCUUGGACAAUGGGCGCAAGCCUGAUCCAGCCAUGCCGCGUGAGUGAAGAAGGCCUUCGGGUUGUAAAGCUCUUUUACCAGGGACGAUAAUGACGGUACCUGGAGAAUAAGCCCCGGCUAACUUCGUGCCAGCAGCCGCGGUAA
rnacentral:rRNA from 1 species